rnacentral:rRNA from 1 species
AGAGUUUGAUCCUGGCUCAGGACGAACGCUGGCGGUAUGCUUAACACAUGCAAGUCGAACGAGACAAAAGAGAAGUGCUUGCACGGAUCUUUUAGAAAGUGGCGAACGGGUGAGUAACGCGUGGGUAACCUACCCUAUGGAAAGGAAUAGCCUCGGGAAACUGGGAGUAAUGCCUUAUAAGAUAUAUUUGUCGCAUGGCAGAUGUAUUAAACGCUCCGGUGCCAUAGGAUGGACCCGCGUCCCAUUAGCUAGUUGGUGAGAUAACAGCUCACCAAGGCGACGAUGGGUAACCGGUCUGAGAGGGCGAACGGUCACACUGGAACUGAGACACGGUCCAGACUCCUACGGGAGGCAGCAGUGGGGAAUAUUGCGCAAUGGGGGAAACCCUGACGCAGCAAUACCGCGUGAGUGAAGAAGGUUUUCGGAUCGUAAAGCUCUGUUAUUGGGGAAGAAAAAAAGACGGUACCCAACAAGAAAGUCCCGGCUAACUACGUGCCAGCAGCCGCGGUAAUACGUAGGGGACAAGCGUUGUCCGGAUUUACUGGGCGUAAAGGGCACGCAGGCGGUUUUUUAAGUCAGAUGUGAAAGGUACCGGCUCAACCGGUGACAUGCAUUUGAAACUGAAAGACUUGAGUAUUGGAGAGGCAAGUGGAAUUCCUAGUGUAGCGGUGAAAUGCGUAGAUAUUAGGAGGAACACCGGUGGCGAAGGCGGCUUGCUGGACAAAUACUGACGCUGAGGUGCGAAAGCGUGGGGAGCAAACAGCAUUAGAUACCCUGGUAGUCCACGCCGUAAACGAUGAGUGCUAGGUGUUGGGGAGACUCAGUGCCGCAGCUAACGCAAUAAGCACUCCGCCUGGGGAGUACGACCGCAAGGUUGAAACUCAAAGGAAUUGAGGGGGACCCGCACAAGCAGCGGAGCAUGUGGUUUAAUUCGAAGCAACGCG